rnacentral:rRNA from 1 species
UACGGAGGGUGCGAGCGUUGUCCGGAUUUAUUGGGUUUAAAGGGUGCGUAGGUGGUCUGUUUAAGUCAGUGGUGAAAUACGGGUUGCUCAACAAUCGAGGUGCCAUUGAUAACUGAAUGAGCUUGAAAUAAUUGGAGGCUGCCAAGAAUGGAUGGUGUAGCGGUGAAAUGCAUAGAUAUCAUCCAGAACACCGAUUGCGAAGGCAGGUGGACUACGAUUUAUUGACACUGAGGCACGAAAGCAUGGGGAGCAAACAGG